GGCCUGGUGGUCUAGUAGUAUGAUUCCUUCUUAGGGUCCUGAGGGACGAUUUGGAGGAGGUCCCGGGUUCAAUUCCCGGCCAGGCCC